AACGAACGCUGGCGGCAUGCCUAACACAUGCAAGUCGAACGAGAUCUUCGGGUCUAGUGGCGCACGGGUGCGUAACGCGUGGGAAUCUGCCCUUUGGUUCGGAAUAACAGUUGGAAACGACUGCUAAUACCGGAUGAUGACGAAAGUCCAAAGAUUUAUCGCCAGAGGAUGAGCCCGCGUAGGAUUAGCUAGUUGGUGUGGUAAAGGCGCACCAAGGCGACGAUCCUUAGCUGGUCUGAGAGGAUGAUCAGCCACACUGGGACUGAGACACGGCCCAGACUCCUACGGGAGGCAGCAGUGGGGAAUAUUGGACAAUGGGCGAAAGCUUGAUCCAGCAAUGCCGCGUGAGUGAUGAAGGCCUUAGGGUUGUAAAGCUCUUUUACCCGGGAUGAUAAUGGCAGUACCGGGAGAAUAAGCGCCGGCUAACUCCGUGCCAGCCGCCGCGGUAA
rnacentral:rRNA from 1 species